AAACCAAACCAGCUCUGCAGUGGAUCCCAUCCCACUGCCACCCUCCAGCCCCAGGGGCUGUGGGGAAAGAGUGUAGCGGUGUCUGAAAUCUGGCUCUGUCACCACUGACCUUUAGCAGGAGAGAACUUUCCCUCAGAUGAGAGAAGCUUUCCCUGAGGUGUCGAGAGAGAUGCUUCCCCUCAGAUGUCCACUGUAAUCAUCGUAGAUUCCCAUGGAAGGAUGAGACAUGGAUUGCUACAGGGAAAAGCAAUGCUGUAUCUGCCCAGAAAAUACGUAUCAAGAGAUCCACGUCCAUGUUCUGGGGAUGUGACCAAGAAUACGUGCAAGACUUUUACACCACGGUAAAAUGCACGAGCAGCAACAGGCAUGAAAAGAAUUGAUGGGCAGAAGGAGAUCCUUGGGAGAGAUGUUUGUGCUCCCACUCUGGAGCAGGAAGCAUGGCCAGGUUGGUAGCUCACGGGGCUACGGUGUCAGAAGGUCAGA